rnacentral:rRNA from 1 species
AUUGAACGCUGGCGGCAGGCCUAACACAUGCAAGUCGAGCGGAUGAAGGGAGCUUGCUCCUGGAUUCAGCGGCGGACGGGUGAGUAAUGCCUAGGAAUCUGCCUGGUAGUGGGGGAUAACGUCCGGAAACGGGCGCUAAUACCGCAUACGUCCUGAGGGAGAAAGUGGGGGAUCUUCGGACCUCACGCUAUCAGAUGAGCCUAGGUCGGAUUAGCUAGUUGGUGGGGUAAAGGCCUACCAAGGCGACGAUCCGUAACUGGUCUGAGAGGAUGAUCAGUCACACUGGAACUUGGACACCGUCCAGACUCCUACGGGAGGCCGCAGUGGGGAAUUUUUGACCAUGGGCCGAAGGCUUGUUCAGCCAUGCCGCGUGUGUUAAGGAGGUCCUCCGAUUGUAAAGCACUUUAAGUUGGGAGGAAGGGCAGUAAGUUAAUACCUUGCUGUUUUGACGUUACCAACAGAAUAAGCACCGGCUAACUUCGUG